rnacentral:miRNA from 1 species
UGCAUAGAUCAAAUCUGCAAAGUUUAAGAAAAUUUAAAAAUCAUUUGAUACUUCGUUUCAUUAAUUCGAAUCAAUGUAUAAAAUGAUUUUAUGAUUAUCCGUCAAUUUGAAUUAAUAAAAUGAAAUAUCAAAUGAUUUUCAAAUUUUCUUAAAAUUUGCAGAGUUGGAUCAUUAA